CAGCCGCCGCGGUAAUACCGGCGGCCCGAGUGGUGGCCGCUAUUAUUGGGCCUAAAGCGUCCGUAGCCGGGUUGGGAAGUCCUCCGGGAAAUCUGGCCGCUUAACGGUCAGAAUGCCGGAGGAUACUCCCAGCCUAGGGAGCGGGAGAGGCCGAGGGUAUUCCCGGAGUAGGGGUGAAAUCCUAUAAUCCCGGGAGGACCACCUGUGGCGAAGGCGCUCGGCUGGAACGCGUCCGACGGUGAGGGACGAAGGCCAGGGGAGCAAACCGGAUUAGAUACCCGGGUAGUCCUGGAUGUAAACGAUGCGGACUUUGUGUCGGACAAGCUAUGAGCUUGUCCGGUGCCGGAGGGAAACCGUUAAGUCCGCCGCCUGGGGAGUACGGCCGCAAGGCUGAAACUUAAAGGAAUUGGCGGG
rnacentral:rRNA from 1 species